AAGAGACAGCAGCCGCCGCGGUAAUACGGAGGGUGCAAGCGUUAUCCGGAUUUAUUGGGUUUAAAGGGUCCGUAGGCGGAUCUGUAAGUCAGUGGUGAAAUCUCACAGCUUAACUGUGAAACUGCCAUUGAUACUGCAGGUCUUGAGUAAAUUUGAAGUGGCUGGAAUAAGUAGUGUAGCGGUGAAAUGCAUAGAUAUUACUUAGAACACCAAUUGCGAAGGCAGGUCACUAAGAUUUAACUGACGCUGAUGGACGAAAGCGUGGGGAGCGAACAGGAUUAGAUACCCGAGUAGUCCCUGUCUCUUAUAC
rnacentral:rRNA from 1 species